UUCAAGUCCUCCCAGGCCCACCAAUUUAUGCUCGUUUUUUGCUUAUCCAAGAGUAUAAAGCUUAAGCGUAUUAAAGCCUCUUCAAUCUUUGUUUAUUUUUAAAGAUUUUAUUUUAUCAUUCAGAGAUUGUUUGUUAAUUUAUCCCAUUAAGCUUCCAAAGAGGCUUUGUCCCUUCAGUGGUACAGAUAAAUUUACAUGAUACAAAUCAAAACAGGACAGGUAAUUCAAGUUGGUGAAUUUGGUUAUGGUUGAUUUGAGAGAGCAUUAUUUAGGGGCCGUAGCUCAG
rnacentral:misc_RNA from 1 species